AUUUUAAAUUUCUAUUAGAAAGAACUUGAACCUUAUUUCAAGUGAACAUUAAAAAGAAUUGUAACCCUACCUUAUUUCUAUUAUUAUGAAUAUGUGUAAAGUAAAUUUUUUUACAAUAAGCAUGUAUAAAGUAACAUAUUUUUGUUCUUUUCUUAUAGCCUUGUAAAUCAUAGGGACGGAUCUAGUUUAGAAUAAAGUGUUGCAUAAGUUCUUCGACUAACAUGUGAGUCCAUUUUUGUGAGUUUUGCAUAACUUUUGCGCCUUCGACAAUUUGAAUUUUAUGCAUAAGUGCUUUGACUAAUUUAUAUGUUUUGUCUAAGUGAUUCGACAUUUCGACUAAGUGAUGUGAAUUGUGUCAUUCGUCGUCGUUGUCGCAUCCGGAAGCGUGUUUGUGGUUCUUGUGUCUUACUUGCCGGGUUAUGAAGUCCUUUGUUUCGAGAGAUCUGCUCUCAUCAUGAUAGAAGAUGGUAGAUGUUAUCUUUGGAUUGCCGCGGGUUGAAUUGUCGCGGGCAUCCUUCUUAAAUCUCAUUCACAUGUUCUUUUGAGGAAGAGUUUUUUUUG
rnacentral:sRNA from 1 species